rnacentral:ncRNA from 2 species
CUUUUAUCACGAGAGGUGGAGGGACUGGCCCAGUGAAACCCAACAACCGGCACUAAAGUGCAUCGGUGCUAAUUCCUGCAGAAUAAAACGAAUUCUGAAAGAUAAGGA